GCGGGACUCUUCACAUCCUCUCUCUCUCUACCGCCAUUACUCCCCCCAACCAUCCGCCGAUUAACAAUGAACAAACUCUAAAUUCACAAGUUCACGCCGCCUCCGCCUCCGCCUCCGCCUUUACACCGUGAAUUGGUGAUUAACCCUCAAUUCGACGGCGAUUAACCCUCAAUUCGACGGUGAACUGGAAGCAACGUUUCCGACGGCGAACUAGAUUUCCGACGGCGUGUAAGACAAAUUAAAAUGGCACGAAAAAGAACAAGGUCACAGGUAGAAGAGGAAGAGUCUGAACAAAACUCUAGAAGGGAUAUACGUGAAGUUGAAACCAGCACUAAUCAUCAGAAUAUGAAUGAGGAGGAAGCGGAAGCUGAAACAUGCAGUAGAAUAAACAUCGAUGAAGAACUAAGAGGACCAGCAGGUGAAGUUUUGGUAAAACUAAACAAGGGGGUGAAUGCCCUGCUGUUCAGAUUAAAGGCCAUACAACAAGAAUAAGGCCUUUGGCUGUGUGUUGAGAAUGCCUCACAUCAGUUCGAGGAGGCAAAAAAGAGAGGACCGAUAGAUGUGGAGAAGAUGGUUGCAGAGUACAAGAAACCAUAAACAAUGAAUUAACUCUUGGCAUUUUUGAACAUUAAUGAAAUCUUGGCUGUGUGAAUGAACUCAGUACUGAAACAUGUAGUUUUGCAGUUUUAUUUUUGUCACGACCACAACUCCCUAGUGCUAGUGAGUAUAGCUAUUUCGUGACUAAAAUAAUCUCAUCAAUCAUAAACUCAACAUAAGGGAAAUAAUCAACUCGAGGUAAUAGUUUCGAAGGCGAAUGGGUACAUAGUCAAAGUGAAAUUAGAGUAUCAAGGCCAAAUUCAUAAAUUCCUAGAACAUAGUUCUAUUGCAGCGGAAGAUUCCAAGACAAAAUAGUAUGUAUGAAGCAGUGUUGGUUGUUAAUUUGGCGUUCGGGUCGCUCGGGUCGCCCGGGUCGAGACCAGCACCGCCCCAACAUGUGUGGGUUGAUCUAGAUGCAUGGGUCGCGCUAGGUCGGUGGGGUCGAGCAUUUCGGGUGGGUCGCCCUAACGGCUAAUACAUGCUUCGCAGUUAACAUUUUAAGGUAAUUUCCCAAUCUUUUCUUACGUAAAUCUUUUCCUUUUUGCUGCUGAAUUGUUUUUACUAAAUUAAACAUUAAUAUAAAAGUAAAUUUACCUAAAAAUCUGCAAAUCUUUGAUAUCUCAAAUAUCUCACACGAUUUUCUGAUCAUUCUCAACCUCAAUUCUCUAAUCUCUCUAUAUAUGCACGCAGUCACGCACACAUCAAAAUUUUCAAACUCAAACCCUACUUUCUACACUUUAUACUUCAGUCUCCUCUGCAUUCCUAAACACAUAAACAAUUCAACGAUCGUGUUUGCUGCCACCCUUUAUAUAUUCCUUUGUUUAAUCAAGGUAUUGUUCUAACUUUCAUCUUCUUUUUGAAUUUUGUGUGCAUGAGUUAAUUUUAAAUUUAGGUCGGACCCUACAAAUGAUUGCAACUUGUACCACUUUGUCUACCUAUAGGUUAUAUGUAUUGAAACUUGAGUCUAGAUGAGGAGUUAAUUUUUUUUUAUGUAACUUUAUUUUUCUUACUUUUUGUAUAGAACUAUAGAUCAUGUAAUAUUUUAUUGAAUUGUAGAUCCAUGUAUAUUGUAUAAUUAAAUUGAAUUGUAGGUCCAUGUAUA